CCUUAGUAACGGCGAGUGAAGCGGCAAAAGCUCAAAUUUGAAAUCUGGUACCUCUGGUGCCCGAGUUGUAAUUUGUAGAAGGUAAUCUUGGGAGUGGGCCUUGUCUAUGUUCCUUGGAACAGGACGUCGAAGAGGGUGAGAAUCCCGUAAGGCGAGGAGACCACAUUCUUUGUAAGAAGCGUUCGAAGAGUCGAGUUGUUUGGGAAUGCAGCUCUAAGUGGGUGGUAAAUUCCAUCUAAAGCUAAAUAUUGGCGAGAGACCGAUAGCGAACAAGUACAGUGAUGGAAAGAUGAAAAGCACUUUGAAAAGAGAGUGAAACAGUACGUGAAAUUGUUGAAAGGGAAGGGCUUUAGAUCAGACUUGGUAUUUAGCUAUCAUUGCUCCUUGUGGGCGGUGCUCUAGCUUUUUACUGGGCCAGCAUCGGUUUAGGCGGUAGGAUAAUGGUGAAGGAACGUAGCUCUGCUUCGGUGGAGUGUUAUAGCCUGUUACUGAUACUACCUGCUUAGACCGAGGACUGCGUCUUUUGACUAGGAUGUUGGCGUAAUGAUCUAAAGCCACCCGUCUUGAAACACGGACCAAGGAGUCUAACGUCUAUGCGAGUGUUUGGGUGUAAAACCCGUAACGCGUAAUGAAAGUGAACGUAGGUGAGAACCUCUUUAGAGGUGCAUCAUCGACCGAUCCUGAUGUCUUCGGAUGGAUUUGAGUAAGAGCAUAGCUGUUAGGAC
rnacentral:rRNA from 1 species